GACGAACGCUGGCGGCGUGCUUAACACAUGCAAGUCGAGCGGUAAGCCCUUUCGGGGGUACACGAGCGGCGAACGGGUGAGUAACACGUGGGUGACCUGCCCUCAGCUCUGGGAUAAGCCUGGGAAACCGGGUCUAAUACCGGAUAUGACUCCAUGACGCAUGUUGUGGGGUGGAAAGCCUUGUGCGGCUGAGGAUGGGCCCGCGGCCUAUCAGCUUGUUGGUGGGGUGAUGGCCUACCAAGGCGACGACGGGUAGCCGGCCUGAGAGGGCGACCGGCCACACUGGGACUGAGACACGGCCCAGACUCCUACGGGAGGCAGCAGUGGGGAAUCUUGCGCAAUGGGCGAAAGCCUGACGCAGCGACGCCGCGU
rnacentral:rRNA from 1 species